UACGAAGGGGGCUAGCGUUGUUCGGAAUCACUGGGCGUAAAGGGCGCGUAGGCGGCUGUUCAAGUCGGGGGUGAAAGCCUGUGGCUCAACCACAGAAUUGCCUUCGAUACUGGACGGCUGGAGACCGGAAGAGGUCAGUGGAACUGCGAGUGUAGAGGUGAAAUUCGUAGAUAUUCGCAAGAACACCAGUGGCGAAGGCGGCUGACUGGUCCGGUUCUGACGCUGAGGCGCGAAAGCGUGGGGAGCAAACGGG
rnacentral:rRNA from 1 species